GAAAGGUGGUGAACUUUGCCUGCACAGGUUGAAGUCAGGGGAAACUCUGAUGGAGGACCGUACGGGUUAUUGAUGUGCAAAUCAUUUUUCUGAUGUAGGUAAAGGUGCGAAAGACUCAUCGAACCACCUAAUAGCUGGUUUCCUCCGAAGUUUCCCUCAGGAUAGCUGUAAUGCAUUUAGUUAAGGGGAGUAGAGAUAUGGGUAGAGGUGCAGGGAGCCUUCGGGUUCUCAACUUAUUUCCAAACUUCGAACCUCCUUGUUAGGCAUUUACCUAACUGGAAAUGCUUAAAUGAAUUAGCGUUACAAGUGGGCUCUGACCGGUAAGCGGUCAUGGCGAAAUGGGAUGAACCAUACGUCUGAAUAAGGUGCCGAAAUGUACUAUCACUGAUACCAUAAAGGGAGUCCAUGUAUUUAGACAGCAGGUCGGUGCCCCUAAAAGCAGGUAUCCGCUAAAGAGUGUGUUAAAACUCACCUGCCGAAUACUAGGGCCCCGAAAAUGAAUGGCGCAUAUAGUACUACCGAUCUCAGACAUCAGUUCUAUUGAACUGAGAGUAGGGGGAUGUGGACAUUUUUGUGAAGGUGCAAUGUGAGUUGGACUGGAAGAAUGUCUAUUACAGAUCCUAAUUGAAGUAGCGAUUAUCCAGGCUUGUAUCCUGGGGGCUGAUGAGGAGUAGGGUUUCUGGACAACUUAAACAGAUCCAGAGUUAGUCGAUCCUAAUCUCAAUAAUGGGAGAAAGGGAGUACAGUUGAUAUUCUGUAACUGACAACAGUUCGCGGCAACGCAUACUAUUUUUCUCCGCCAAUCUUAUACCGUUGGUAGGGAUCUCUUUCCUACAUGACAGUACUAAUACCCAGGGAAACUGUCAUCAGGCGAACUGCGGCGUUCUGCUGGCAAAACAUAGCUUCGGGUUAUGUCAAUGGCUAUUGGAUUGGUCCAUGAAGCGAAAAAUAGUUUACUGUGUCACUCGUACCGAUAACCGCAUCAGGUCUUCUAGGUAAGUAGCCUAUGGCCAUUGAGGCAUGAUAGUUCAGGGAAUUCGGCCAAUUAGAGCUGUAACUUCGGGAUAAAGCUUGGCUCUGAUGAAAAUCAGAACCGAUUGUUACGCGGAGAGCCCAACUGUUUAAUAAAAACGUAGUGUCGCGCUGUGGUAGUAUAGCCAGUGAACGCGACAUGAAUCCUGCUCAGUGCUGUGUCUGUUAAUAUGGUUCAAGCCAACGAAGCACCGGUAAAUAGCUGGGGUAACUAUGACUCUUAUCAAAGUAGCGAAAUACCUCGUCACUUAAUUAGUGACCUGCAUGAACGGAGCUAUGAGGUUCUCACUGUCCCAAACUGUCUCUCAGCGAACCAACUGUAGUGGGAACGGUCACUAGAUAUCCAGCGGGGAAAGAAGACCCUGUAGAGCUUCACUUUGGUCUAGUCUUGUAUAGUUCCUGCGGGGGUGUAGACUAGGUGGGAGAGCAAUCGAUUCUGAAAAACCACUACCCUGUUUGGAAUUAUGCUUACCUAUCACAAGGAAUAGGACUAGAUAGAAAGUUUGGCUGGGGCGGCACACCUUCGAAAGAGCAGCGAAGGUGUCCUAAGUUGAGCUCAGUGAGGACAGAAAUCUCACGUUGAGGAUAAGGCCAAAAGCUCAAUUUACUGUGCCUUUUUGUACUAGGAUCAGUUACGAAAGUAAGGCCUAACGAUCCCUAAAUAGCCUCAGGUGCGUGAGGAUUGGGGUGACAGACAAGUUACCUCCGGGACAACUGGCUUGUGGCUGCUAAGAGAUCAAAUCAACGCAGCUUUUUGAUUCUUCGAUGUCGG
rfam:Trichomonas vaginalis G3, whole genome shotgun sequence.